UUCCCUUUCGGGGGACAAAGUGACAGGUGGUGCAUGGUUGUCGUCAGCUCGUGUCGUGAGAUGUUGGGUUAAGUCCCGCAACGAGCGCAACCCUUAAGCUUAGUUGCCAUCAUUAAGUUGGGCACUCUAAGUUGACUGCCGGUGACAAACCGGAGGAAGGUGGGGAUGACGUCAAAUCAUCAUGCCCCUUAUGAUUUGGGCUACACACGUGCUACAAUGGACAAUACAAAGGGCAGCGAAACCGCGAGGUCAAGCAAAUCCCAUAAAGUUGUUCUCAGUUCGGAUUGUAGUCUGCAACUCGACUACAUGAAGCUGGAAUCGCUAGUAAUCGUAGAUCAGCAUGCUACGGUGAAUACGUUCCCGGGUCUUGUACACACCGCCCGUCACACCACGAGAGUUUGUAACACCCGAAGCCGGUGGAGUAACCUUUUAGGAGCUAGCCGUCGAAGGUGGGACAAAUGAUUGGGGUGAAGUCGUAACAAGGUAGCCGUAUCGGAAGGUGCGGCUGGAUCACCUCCUUU
rnacentral:rRNA from 1 species